GGUCGCUAAACAAGCGGCAGGGAACAGGGCCUAAAGGGAUUGGCUGCAGUGCUGAACACCAGUGACCUGUUAGUCAUGGCCACACGCAAAACAAGGAAGGGGAAGAGGAACUUACUGGCAAAACAGAUGGAAACGAUUUAAAGGACGGCCGAACAGAUGGAAAGGAAGGGGAGCUAAGAGUCAAAAAGAUAAAUACAAUAAAAAACAUGGAUGUUUUAACUGCGGCUUUGCUAAACUUGGAUUAUUUCAAACACUAGCGUUCAAACAUGUCCUUACCAAUAUUCCCAAAGAGUAAUAUUUGCUGCAUAUGCAGGAGGUAGUUUACGUUUCCUUAAAAUCGAGUCCACAUCAACAGCACAUGACUAAAAUAAAAUUUAAUGAGCUUAUCUUUUUCGCUCCUCCAAGCUAAACCAAUUUGGGUCAAUUCAGUUUUACUGAGAAUGUUGUUGUUUUCCUUAAAUGUGCCACCAGGAUACUCCGCACUGCUGGGAUGAUCCAGCAGAUGAUAGACUCUGUGUCUGAUAGUCAGCGUGAUAACCUGUCUGUCAGUCCGUCUUGUCUGACAGACAGGUUAAACAAGGUGUGUGUGUCUGUGUGUGUGAGUGUGUGCGACUGCUCUGUGAUUGCCCAAAGGACAACAACACGGCAUAAAGCAACAAACACCUGUGUGUUUCGUGUGUGCGUGUGUGUGUUUUUGCCUCAGGGCCUACAAAGGCAAAAACACAGUAACAAAAUCGGCUACGGUAUCUGAAAUUGUUUUACAAACACAACUGAAAGUAACAUACUGUGUCUAUAUGUGACACACACACGCACACACACACACACACACACACACACACACACACACACACUGCAGUAUACCACACAGAGAUGACAACCGUACUCAAACACCAACAAGUACAGGACAUUUUCAAAUGCAAAUUGAAGAUGUAAUCUGUGGAUGAAACUGAGUAAUGGGUAAUUCCCCUUACUGAGGAUAAAGGUACAAAAGUUGUAACACGAUACAAUUGUCACAAAACAAAACAAAAGAGUUUGUUGAUGAAAUAAAUAAAUAAAUGUUUACACCCAAAAUGAGCUUCACUUUGUUAAAGAACCAGGAGCUCUGAGCCAGAAAAUGGGUCCAUAACUUUGGAAAAUGUGAUUUAUUCCAGGCACUGUACAUCUAAUUGAUUUACUUACACUGAAAAGCACUUGCCAAUUUCUGCUGAAUGUUUCAUGUUGUGGAUCUAGUCUGCUCUUUGAGGACUUGGCAGCACUAUCAGCUUUCUUAUCCUCGUCCCGGUUGGAAGAAUAAAUCAAAUUGUUAUGAAACAGGAUUUGCGUGCAGCUCAGGGAUGACCAGAAAUAACAGGCUGAGGAUGUUUGCAGAAGUACCAAAUUAUUGAUGGUAAAUGGAGAUGUAUGGACAUAACAUGUUCACUACAAAUAACCCCUUGGCUUCCCUCUUGUUUCCCAUCUUUCUCGCUCUGUCUCUUUUUAUCACUGACGUGCAAAAACUCAGAGUGAACCACACAGUCACAGACGCAGUUUUCACUGUGACUAUCAGGAGCGUUAUCUCUGCAUUGCAGACUAUUAAACAUUGAUGUGUUGUUAUUGUAACGGCAGCAAUCUGGAUCAUCCAGGCUGAAUGACCCAAAAUAAAAACUCUUUGGCUCGCAACAACACGGAUUCUCUGAUAAACAACUGUUUUGUCUGCGGUGAACAAUUAGAGCAAGCUUUGCUGGGCCCCAUUCUGCUGCAUGAUAAUCUUUUUGGGGGGGAAGUUGUUGUUUUUGUGGAAACUGGUUUCUAUUAGCAACAGUAAGCACUUGGAGACGCUCACAAAAAGCUGUAAAUAGGACAGGAAGUUGUCGGUCUAAAAAACUACCUGAUUCACCCUGGUGAGCAGGACAAUCCCAAUAUUACAAAACACAGACUGUCCUUGUCUCACUUAGAUCGCUCAUUGUUUUAGUGACGACCCCAUGCAGACGUUCCACCUCCUGGAUACUUUAUCCGUCCUCUUGUGAGUCUUCAGAAGUGCACAACUUUGCUAAAUCGCUGUAGUUUCCCUUUAGGUUUUCUUCCACAGGUGUCCUGGUGGCCGGGGGAACCGUCAGGAAAAAUCUAACUCGACACAAAAAUCGGAGCCAGAGAAUAUGUGUGGAUGUCUCUACAUAGUGGAAUUAAGGAAUUACUGGCUUCAAGGUGACUAAUAGACAGCCCGAAAGGUUGGUUUAAUUCCGAUGAGACUUGUGGCCUCUCUCUCUCUCUCUCUCUCUCUCUGUCUCUCUCUCUCUGUCUCCCCCUCAAUGUGUGUGUGUCAGCAGCUCAGUCAAGCAGGAUAAUUCAGCUCUCACUCUGCGGAUAAGGACUUCUAUCCAGCUUUAGUUUGUCACAACAUUUGUUCCACAUUUAAAUUAGACUGCUGCAGUGGGAUGAUUGCAUAUAGAUUUGCAGAGGAGGGGAGAGAAUGAAUGGGGAGAGAGGGGAGUAAAGGACGAAGAGAUUUGUGAAAACACAACUGGGGAGAGGAAAACUGGGGAUACAAGAAGAGAGGUGGUGGAGGAGAAAGAGGAAGGAAGAGAGAAGACACUAAGGAAGAGAACUACUUUUCCUCCCAGAAAUAGUCGGUACAAUCAACUGUUGUUGCAACAUCAGUCUGGUCCCCACGACAACUGUCCUGGAUUCUGCAUUUCGCUCAACAACACAAAUCUAUUAUAAAUAGGCUGCAAAUCAGACUCGGCAUGUAAAUCCGAACUUUGCAGACUAAAGAAAGAAAGGUUUAAUUUUGGGGAUAUCAGUAACUUGCCGUUCAAACGCCACACUGGCUUUUGCAUCCAUCUCUUAAUAAUUAACUUCAUCAAUACAACAAGAUAAGACCAAUAAAAACUAGUUAUCCAAUAGGCUAUCUAAACCUGUCUGGGCUCUUUAUAAAAUAAAAUGCUUUUACAUUGACCCUUGGGAGAACUUCAACACAAACUCCAUACUAAAACAGAAUGGUGUUUAAAUUUGGUUCACAAAUGGUUCACAAAGAGUGGGAGUGAGAGCAGUUGAUCACAUUGAUGUAAAGUCUUAAAAGCUGCUGAUAAAUGUAUUCUUUUAUCAGGUGGAGAAUAAAGUGGACUCUUCCUGUUUUCACUGUUGAUUGUACAGUCACUAAGUACUUUUCACUGUUCUGUUUUGUUUCACUGUAAAACGAUUCACUGUUCAUCGCGGAGCCAGAAGAAAAACAUGUGAGCUGCUCUGGGUUUGAGUAUCAGGGUGCGUGUUUUCAAAAAGAUAAAAUGUAUUUAUUUAAAUGUGCAGUAUAUAAAUAAGUGUGACUCAGAACGGUGUGUUCGAAAUUUCUAUUUGUGCAUGCAUGCUUAUGUGCAGGUCAGUGUGUGUUUGUGUAGCGGUCCGUCAUAUCUGGGUCUUGAGUGUGAUCCAUCUCUGUGUCGGCCCCCCCCCCCUCUCCUAACCAUUGGUGACAGUUGUUCUUUUUAGAGCAGAGUGGAUCUGCAUGCAGGCGGAGCGGCUGUUAAUUAUGGAUGGUCAGGAGCACCUUUGGGUGUUAUAUCAAAGUACCAACCCUCCUAAACCCCUUUACCACCUCUUAACCCUCUGAAUGUAUCUGCAUGGUCUCUGAGUCCUGAGAUCUUAUCUAGCGCUUUUCGAGUCUUCUGGUCACUCAAAGCUCUUCCCCAACACAUGUUGGCCCCUGCUCAAGAUGUGUCGCCUGGCUACAAGCAAAGCUUUUUGCAUAUUAUCCUGACGAGGAAGAUUAAUAUAUUCAUACGGGAUGAAGGUUUCGAAUGGUCGCAGUUAGGCUUUGUUACGCACAGCCAUAAAGAAUAUGCUCUGCCCCCCCACUCACUCAUGCACACUUUUAUUGUGUAUCAAGAUUUCCUGGGUCACUACUCAAGCAUCGGUAUCUCACCUCGUCGAGGGGACAAUAGGUUGGGUCAAAAGCGCCCACUAAAAGCUAGUAAGUGGACCUUUGGUUUAGGAUGUCUAAUGUGCUCCUAAAGGUUAAGAGACUGACACAAUCUAUCAUUUAAAACAAAAAAAUAUUCAGUUUUCACAUUCUGGAAGCUGAAAUGUUGUGUAUUUUUGUUUGACACAUUAUUUUAAUCACAAUUGAUUAUGUCACAAUCCGGGUAGGCAGAGGCAGGACCCAGACGCUGAGUUUGAAAAUAAAAGGACUUAAUAAUAGGUAACAUUUUAAAAAAAGCUAAAUGCAGACAGGAACCAGGAACAGGCAAGACACUGCUGGUAGGACGCGACUGAGGAGACAUGGCACAUGACACACACGGCUUAAAUACACUGGGAGGUGCAGGUGAUUAGACACAGGUGGAAACAAUCAGACAAUCACAGGGGCUGACAGGACAAGGCAGGAAGUGAAGUUAACCAGGGACACAAGGGGCAGGAAACUACAAAACAAAACAGGAAACAAACCCACACCGUGACAGAUUAUCACAUUUGUUAUAGAUUUAUUUUCUGUGUGUGUGUAUUUAUUGAUGACUAAUUCCGUAUUCAUGCAUUUGUCACAUAUUUACUAACCCACUGGCUAAUGGAAAGGGUUUUAUUUGAUGUAAAGCUGGGAACAGUUUUCCACAAACAACAUAAUUCUGUAGCGGUCGAUACUGCACAUUAAUUCAGUUUGUUUACAAAUCAAUCUGUCAAAUUGCACACGAGGAAGUUGAAUUCUCGAAGUACUAAUUUUGUGCAAUUUUACUUCCAUAACACCUCAACAGCAGAUCUGGAGAUGAAGAGCAUUUCAUUUAAUUUGAACCUUUUUAGGAACCCUCAUACAAUCUGAUAAGCGUUUAACAUUUGUGAAUAAAGUCAGAUAAUAAUAAAUCAGCCAAGUAAAGCGGAAACACAAUUUUUAGCUAAUUACCUUUGAGAUACAGAUGAAGUGAGCAGCCAUGUGCGGAUCAGGUGUCAAGGAGCUUAGUAACUAAAAGUGAUUCACUGAAAGAUUUGCUGGUCUUAGUUUUCCACAUCCUGGUAUUUUAUUAACAAAACCAAAUCCAAACAGGCACCCUAUCUGUGUUAAUACUGUAUGGAAGAUGUUAACGGGUCAAAGACUGCCAUGUUCCACUAUUACAUGUAAUCUACAUAUGUAUAAACCAAAGGGAAAAGGUACGCGCACACACACACACACACACACACACACACACACACAACAGCACAGAACAGGAGGAGGCAGACAACACAGGACAUCUAUAAUUCACUCAUUGCAUAUUUUGGCCUUGUGCUCCUCGUUCAAGGUUUCUCUUCCACAUGUGUACCGAGAAAUAUUCACUGAAGACAUGGACACGUUUGACUUGAUGUAACUCUAGGUAACGGAGCAAGUUGUUGCACGUUCCACGCAGCAGUGAAAUAAAAACUCUGAAGUUAAAAUGUUUUGCUUUUUGGUGUGGCUGCAAACAAAAUGUCAUUAGAUUUUAACUGCAGAUAACAAUGGAAGUACUGCUGGCUAAAAUAUUUUGAACUGACACACACACACAGGACCUGGCCACAGGAAUAUGAAGCUGAAAAUGGAUAGAGAUCUUAGAAUAUUAAACACUGCUGUGGUACUAUAUAGGACAUUUUGUAUUUCAGAGCAAGCAAUGUGGCAUUAACGGGAUCUGCCAGUCAGGGGAACAAAAACAGUGCAGCUAAUUUGUCUGUGCACCUCAGUGGUCUGUGGUUUAAUCUGAAUACAUCAUAUUUAAUGCCUGAGUGAGAGUGAUAUUAGCAGGACUUGUAAAUCCAGAAGCAGUUGUAAUAUUUUAUUGGCAAUUUCACUUUCUUCCACGUUAUUUGCAAUAGCACGCUCCCUGUUGGGAGAAUGUACUCAUUUCCCCUUGUUUUAGGAUGUGUGUGAUACACUCAACUACCUGUGAUGGGGAUGUUGCACCCUGAGGUGCCUGAACUGUGGAGAACUACUGUCAGAGCUGAGAAGCCAGACAAACGAGCACCAUGCUCCUCCAACCUUCAUUGUAUUUUAUCUACUGUACUUUAACCCGUGUGAGUCAGCUGAGGCUCUGAACAUCAGCCAAAAAUAUACGCUGUCUAACACGCGGUGCGUGAGGCUUUUAGAUGAAUGUGUGUCCGUAUCCUCCUCAAAGACCAAAACCAAUCAAUCAGUCCUCUGAUGACUGAGGCUCAUCUCGCUCUUUCCUGAUUGGCUCUGACGGCUAGAAAAGAGCUAGAAUCGCACCAGUGGGAGGUUGGCAAUUGGAGUUUUGAAGUUCUCUUAGUUUCCCAAAACUCUUUAAUGUUUGCCUGUGUCUAAUACGUGUGUGUGUGUGUGCUAAUUACACUAAGUGUGUAUGAAGUUGAAUGAGUAGGAUUGUGUAAUCAAGCGUGUUUGUAUGAAAGCUCGUAUGUGUAUGGGAGUUUUUAAUUAGCUAAUGCUGCCACACAUUGGGGCAAUAUGCGCCAGGCGGAAAACCAGAUGUUUAUUGUUUUUAAUGGCCUGACGACGGUGAUCUGAGCCAGUGCUGCGUGGUGCAAAGGGUUGCCUACUGUGUCUGCAGUCAGAGGGAGAGAAAAGUCAAAUUACCAAGUUCUCAACGUUUGCCCGCGACUGUGGAGAUGAAGACACACUGAUUUAUGUCUUGUUUUUCAUCUCAGUGAGAAGCACUUUAAAUACGAAAGAAAUCCAUAUUCACAGCUGCAGAACACCUUAUACAACACCUGCAAACACAACCUCCUCCUCCUGAUGUUUAUUCUUUCAAGAAAAAAAAUAUGUAUUAUAAGUAUUUCGAGUUGACUUUUGACACCCUCCAAAAAGGUGACACAAUUAAAAAAAAAAAUGUCACGUCUCCUGCAGCACAAAACUGAUUUAACAAAUUUCCUACGUGUGCUUCAUUCCUGUAUGGACUGGCAACCAUGCAGGACAAUAAGGGGACCAAGCUGUACGUGCACUGACAUUUAAUGCUUCUUUUUAUUUCAAAGAGACGGUAAGAGAAAACGGAUACAAGUCAAACAAUAAGUAAACUGGGUUAUUGUGUCUAUUGCCGUAUGAAUCUCUCUAUGUCUUCAUAGGCUGUAUUGCACAUUCUGGGGGGCAAACAACAGCAUGUAGGAGACUGGUGGGUUUGACUAGAUGAGAACAGCAAAAAAACACAAAAUACACAGAAAGGGAUGAGAAAGACCUGCAAUGCAAACAAGCAGCAGGUUUGAAAAACUAACAAUACAGUUCCUCUCUAGAAGUUUAAAUAAUUCAAACCGCACAGUUUGCCAGCAGAGCAAACAGUUUCCAUCAGCCACAAGGACAUUAAAUAUUAAACUGAACACCAUUCCACUUUUAAUUGUAUCACGGUAUGUGUUGACCAAAGUUACCGUGGUAACAUAAAAAGCACGUUGUUAAAGCUGAGAAACAUCCAAUCCUGCUUGGCAGGAAGUGAGGAUGAGACAGAAUUCAGGGAUUUGAUUCCCGGGUCCACUAUUAAGACAAAACUAUAAUGCAACACGACAGUAUUGCACUUGCAUAAAGCCUGGGGACUCGCUAAAGAAAAGGAGUAAUGUUCAAAAUAAAAGCAGAGGUAGAGGCUGAGAUAUCCCCACUUUAAUAUAUAAUAUGGGUCUAAAAAUACUGCGUCCUACAAUACAACUCGACAAAACAUCUUUCAUCAGACUGACUGUUAAAGUCUAACGUCUAACCAGUUAAAUCCCAGUUUGCCCUCGAGGCAUUUUGUCAAAAUGUCCAAACCAAAGCUAAGAAGUGAACAGAAAAUGAGGGAGUUCCCUCUCAUUCCCCAGGAACAAACUAUUUGUACAGUAGUAUUUGUCACACAAUGUUAGCUGGUAGGUGAAAUGUAAUUUACAGCUUAGGGUAGAUUAGUGUAACUGCAUAUCGUCACGGUGACGGAAUGUAAAUGGAUGCACAGCAUAGACUUCAUUUUUGCCCUCGCUCUCUCGGUCCAGUCUCUACAUCCUUCGCUCUGCCGUCUUCCUCUCUGGUUUCCUUUGUCUCACUCCGUCAGCGCAGGUUUUUUUGAGGUAACGCGGUUUGAACUCUCAUUCACAGUCGGAGAGUUGCACCAGUAGUACAGCUUAACAGUACUCCACAAAUCACAUAUUUAUCGUAUUCUUUUUCGUUUAACCAGCCAACAAUCUCUUUCUCUGUCUCUCUCUCACACACACACACACACACACACACACACACACACACACACACACACACACACACACACACACACACACACACACACACACACACACAUUCAUACACACCUUUGGGACAGCAGGAGACUCGGAAUUGUCCGCAGGCACCGGCCAAUCAGAGUCUAGCGCACGUAAGGAAAAUCUCUGUAGUAAUUCCCACUAAACGCACACACACACACACACACACACACACACACACACACACAAUCGCCUAUAGGUUGGACCGCCAUAGUGUAUGGGGGAGUACAACCAGUACAGAGAGGACACUGGGAAGGACUGCACACACACCUUCACAUGCAUACACACACAGGCUCUCUGACACACACACACACACAGUUGUACAAAGGGGAGCAGGAUAAAAAUACUGUGCUGACAAGUCAAUUAAUCAGAUGUGAAGGUGCCGAGCAGAACAAUCCUUUACAAGGCUGGAGUUGAAAAACACACUGAGUGUGUGUGUGUAGGAGCGUGUGCAGGAGUGUGUGUGUGUGUGUGUGUGAGACGUUUCUAUGCUUAAUAACCUUUGUCAUAAGCUGUUGAUCACAGCGUUAUAAAAAAACAAGUAAAAACCGGUGCAUUUUUGUUGUCUUGGGUUUGAUUCUGUCAUUCUUUAUUUGGGUCCCAGUUUAUGUUUUGACAUGAAAACGUCACUUUAGUUUUCAAAAUCUUGGCUGUGUAAAAAACAUACAUUGAAUAUAAUGCGCACAAUAAAGGGUGUGUGGGGAAAUGAUUAAAUAAAAAGUUCAAAAUUAUUUACAGACACUAUCAAUCCAUCAAGAAGUAUAACUGCACAGGCAAGAAUCCCUCUAACUGAUAUUAGUUCAUCAAAAGAAAAAAUAUUAAACUAAAGUUUUUUUUAAUCAACAACCAAGACAACUUGACAAAAGACUUGAUAAAUGCUGUAGCAAAGAUAUUCUAUUGUAUAUUUUAGGUUUACUAAUGCUGGAGGAACAAGUGCUGCCCUGAAAACGUGCAAGAGGAAAUUCCUUAAAUGUAAUGAUUAGAAAAUGCGCGACUUUAAAGUCUCGGCUCCACAAAACAUGAAGGGGAUCGAAACAACCUCAACAUCACCACGACACCGUAGUUCGAAAUUCUCAUUCCACAGGUAGGCCGAUGACUUUGUGGAGUAUCACCGUGGCAAUAAAACAGACUUCAUAAACCGUCGAUGGCCAGUCGGUACUGUCAGCGCCACUCAGGUGUGUUUGGCUUUGGCUUGAAAUCAACAGUGUGACGGGCUGACGAACUCCUGAGUGGUGCUGAAAGCAGUCAAUCAGCUGUGGGUGCCGCGGUAAUGACGGGGAUGUGUGCACUCCCCCAGGAAGAGCUGUCAGGUCAAUGGAUCACUGCCACUCUGACACACACACGCACACACACACACACACGCACGCACACAAAGUGAAACAAUACAUCACCCUCUAAAAUAUGCUGCAAUUUGGCCCGUGCACACACAGUAAAACUCCCAGACAUGCAAACAGCUCCGUGUUGACAGACCUCUCGCGCCGCUUAUGGAUUCUUCUGAGGGCGUUGACACGCACGCACAAACACAAACACGUGUUAAGUUCUUUCUUUGCGUUCGCCGAAUUGGAUUUCAACUGACGUUGUGUUUGAAUAACACGAGUUCAAUGUUGAGGCUACCUGAGGAUACAGAGUGUACAGUCUGUGCUUCAACUGCAGAGAAGGAACCGGAUUCUGCUGGCUGACGGUUGCUUCCUAAUCCGGUUUGUUCCGGGAUAUUUCAUCUGUGCCGUGUCUCAGGCUUAGCAACCGCAUUCUCUCAGUUUGGGUCCCCACACGACAAGAGCACUAAUAUGUUUUAAAUUGGCUUGAGACCUGGGCUAAAAAAAUACAUUCCCUCUGUUUGUGUUCCUGUGUGAACUGUUACAUCAUAAGGAGCUGGAUCGCCGACUGGUUUUCUCAUCAGAGCUGCUAAUGUCAUUCUUUUUCAACACAAAUAUUUGAUUUCAAUCUACUUUAACACUAACUGCUAACCAAGUAAUAUUUUUACCGCUUUUGUUCCUGUUUCACUGUACGAGGAAAACAGUACAUCAAAUACCACCCAAGAAAUGGUUUCCAUUAAUGCAACAUACAUGAAGGGUGCUUGUUGAACAUUAUUCAAUCCCGACACCUGCUGCUGUUCUCUGCUGCUGCGAGCUGCUGACCCGCUUCUUCUUCCCGGCCGCAUGACGGCCAUUCAUCCACUCAACCCCGAUGACUCUCACUUUUGGCACACAAUAGCAGUACAACUUUUCGACUUUCUGGUCUAGACAGCAGGAUUCAUUUGUGUAGCUCAAAAUCCAGCUCCUCGUGACGCCGUCUCUCUGCUGGAUCUUCCGUCCUUUGUCCUCUUCUACUUCCUCCCUCCCCAAAGUGCUCGUCUCGAAGGUCGAAUGACUGGGCUCCGUGUAUGUGACGAGUUUGUUUCCCCGCAAAUGACAGGGAGGGGGUCUAACUAUGGACCUGUAAUUGAAAUGUAAAUGCAACAACACAGAGGUGCAUAUGGAGCAGACAGAGUGGUUGCCGCCUUGUUUUAAUGACCUUUCAUAUCAUGCAGGGACACGGUUGUGUACAAACAAACAGAAAGCGGUCAGACUUGUUUACCAAUUAAACAGUAGUGACAGAUGUGUUUACAAUUCACAAACACCGCCAGCCACUGAUGAUUUUAAUAUUCAUACCUGGCCUCUCCUGAAAACCUCAGUAAUGCCAGACGGGAAUGCAUGUAGAACACUUCAAAUGGCUCCAACGCAUUUUUAACACUUAAGCCUGAAAUUAUUCAGAGUACUUGGAGGAAGUGGGAUGAGUAUGUUUUUUUGCUAAUAACUCUAUCGUGUCCUGAAGGUUCCCUCAAAUACAACACUUGAAGCAACACAUUGCAUCGAUACUGGAUAUUUAUAAAGAAUGUGUGUUCACUUCAAUAGCCUCAGUAGAUCUUGGUCACUUGACUUCUAAAAAUUACUGAAAAAUAGGUGUCUUAUUUGACAAAUUCUUGAUAUUACAAGACUGUGUUUCAGCCUGUUGUACCUCUCUGGGAACUUGGGUGAUGAGGGUUAUUUCAAUGGCAGCGCUCUCUUUUUCUACACGACUUUUGCCUCCGACUUGUGGAUUUGCGUUGAUUUGUUGCUUUGAUUUGAAUCACUCACCCUGCAGUAUAGUUUACUACAGGUGUAGCUGCCUAUAGCAAUGAUUCAUUCAUUCAGUCAUUCAUCAUUUAUUGCAUGUUCACAGCUUUUCCUUGUUGCCGUGGACGGUGGGAGAGUAAGAAAGAUGAAAAAAUAAAACAUUGAGAGAAAUAAACUAGAGAGGUCGGCGGAAUAACAACGUGCAGCAGAAAGUCAAAUAGACACAAAAUAGACAGGAUAAGAAAGGCGGAGAGAAGGUUAAAACCCAGAGAAAGGUACAGAGGUAAAGAGCAGAGGAAGUGACUUGUGUAAAGGGAUUACUACCUGGGUUUACCAUUUAUAUUCUCUUGAUGCUCUUCUAGAAUUUGUGGUGAAGUAAAUGUCACAUUCGUGGUCCAUCAUUUUAUAUCGCCAGAGAAAAAGGCUACUAAACUAAAUGCACUCAACCGCAACUUCAAUUAAACAGUGAAUGUUGCCACGCUGUGAUAGAUGUACUGAUAUACUGUAGAUACACUGCAGUAGUAGAGCAGUACUAUUUUUGGGGAGUUUUGUAUUUUUGUUCAGAUCAGUGCUAGUGUAAAAUAAGCACCAAAAGUUAGUUACGUUUAUUUUAGGUUAUUUGGUUGACUAAAACCUGAUGCUUCAUCCCAGAGGACCAUAACUUCUGCACCAAACAUAUCCACAUCGGCAAUAUGCAUUAGGCCUUUGAUAUGGCUUUCAUGCAUAAAUCCCAGCAGCUAAAUUUACUUUGAUGUUGUGAGGGAAAUUCAUCGUUACGGAUUGAACUUCGGCCUUCAAAUGCCACCAUCUGCCUUGGUAUGUUUCAUGGGGAAAGAAGGCAAAUCUUUAUUACUUCUUAGUAAAAUAUAUAUUUUUUUUUUCCCCCAGCAUACAUUUUGCUCUCUGGAUUAGUGAUUCACCCACAGUUCUAAACUCUGUUUAAGGCAACACACAGUUGUGACCUCAAACGCCCUCCUGGACUCUCUCCCAGCACCGUCAUGAUCAGGAAUCAGGAAUCAGGAAUCAGGAAACAUUUAUUAGCCAAAAUAUGUCAAACAUACAAGGAAUUUGUCUUGGCGGUUAGUGCGCGACAGUAGACAGACAAGACAACAGUGCAAUGAGCAAACAGAAGGACCGUAUCUACGGGUACUUCUCCUCAGCUCAAUCGCACAGGAGCAGCUCCAGUCCGCCCCGCGGUCUCUCAUCCAAUGCUGCAUUGAUCUGUCCUUUCAAUCAACAACCGAGAGACAAGUGACAAUACCACACAGAAGAAGUAACAUUGAGUACAUAAAGUAAACCAUAUCUUAGAUUUAAAUGCAAAACGUCAGCCCUCCGUCCCAGAGUGUGUGUUCACACGCUGACUAAAGUGUGUUUGUCAGUUGGAGUUGUUAUUUUUCUCUGCAGCGUACGCCUCAAUGGGCUGUCUGUCUUUUUUGAUGGAGCCGGGCAAGACAAAUUGACAGCUUGGCAAAAACACACACAUACAUAUACAUAAACACAGGCAGAGUGUGUGCACGCCCCAGUGUGCACACACAACUCCCAAAACACAACCACAUAGACAUACACCCACCCACAUACGAGCAGACAUACAUUGGCUGAUGGACAGAGUGACAGUUUAUUUUCAGGACUUAAAUGAACAGAGGAAUCGACUUUGUGCUCUGAGGCAAAGGAGAGCAGAGUAAGCAGAAGAAAAUGAGCCGCGCUCGCCGCUCGAGGGCGGAUAGAUUCCAGAUUAGAUGACACACGCGGCGGCCUUUGUCGCUGUCCUGCAACUGUCCGUCCAUGUUGGACUCGAUGACCAUUACCGACAGAGUUGCUGAGAGAGCAACGGAACAAAAAGAGGAUAAAUUGUAGGUACGUAGAAACGGUCUCUUUGACUUCGAUCCUGCAGCGAAGUGCAACAGAUUUCUGCAGAGGAUUCAUCUUGAAAGCCACACUAUAAUAGAGUGCCGUGCAUAAUUGGAUCCAUUGUUAUGGAAAAGUCCUUUCUGUCAAACAAUUGGAUGUCAGAACCUUCCUGGAUCAAAAUGUGAAGAAGAAAAAAAACAUUUCACAAAUUUCCACUCAGCGUGGAUAAACAGCGCAGCAAGAAAGAAAGCACUUUGAUCAUGGCUUUAGUUUAAAGGGAGAUAGUUUGAAUAGAAUCUGUUGCAGAAAUGGGUUUAAUUAGGAUGAGUAGGGGUCUGAAGCAUUUUGUAUGCAGGAAUAACAUGACACAAUGCUAAAAGAGAGAGAACAGGAAAAGCCUUCGAAAGAGCUGACUUUGGAGAUUUUCCCUCUCGGCAGUCUAACAUUACAUGGCAGCAGAGGAAGAGAGAGAGGCUGCAAGGAGAGAGGAGAGAGGAAGGAGAAGAGCACAGAUGGAGGAUGGAUGAUCAUCUGACCUUCACCUGCUUCCCAUCUCUGUCUCACGUUGUUUGAAGGUGUCUAAAAGCUUCAUUUACCCCCCACUCUCUCUGUUCUGCGUCCUUUUUUUUGCAUUCUCCUUUUUUUUCUCCUCCUACGACUCCUCCCCUCUUUAUUUCAUCCCCAUUUCUCUUGUCCUCAAUCUGCACCUCACAUACAUUACAUGUCUCUUCACUGCACUCGUUCCCAUAUGUGAUUGUAUGUCCUCCACACUCUCCGUCGUCCCUCUUCUCUACACGUUUUGUCCUUUUGUCCAUUCCCUUUCUCACCCCCCCUCACUCUUUUAAGCGUCCCCCUUCUUCUCUUCCAUACAUCCUCUGUAUCCUUCUCUAACCCCUUUCCUGCUGCCGCUGUCCUCUACCUCGACUCCCCUCCUCCUACUCUCCUCUCUGCUUUUGUCCCAUCCCUCCCCCACCCCCCUUCUUUCCAGGUCCCAGGGCUCGUUAAACAAUGUCCACAUUCACCUGACAUCAUCUGCAGAGAGACGCCUAUAGGGGUGACAGUGUGUGUGUGUGUGUGUGUGUGUGAAAGAGAAAGCAUCUCUAUGCGUAAAAUCUAAAUUAAAAGACUGCAAGUACAGAUUUACUGCUUGGGUGAGGAAAUAAAAAGAGUGAGUACAGGCAGAGUUUGCUUCUACACACACACAGACACACACACACACACACACACACACACACACACACACACACACACACACACACACACACACACACAAACAAACACACACACACACACAGGCAAUCAAACAGAAUGUGUAAUAGUUAGAGUUGAAACUGUACUGAAAGUGCAAGGUAGACAAAGACAAAGAGAGGGGCAGAGAUAAAGAAACAUAUUUCCUUCUGGGAGUUUUGUAGUAGACCUUUAUCAGUCUGGAACAAUUGGUAUUCAACAGAGUUAAGCACACAAGCUGUUGGUCCGGAGCCGAGCAGCAAACCCUCUCACACACCAGCCGCCCCAACAGCCCGACUCCAACAACCGCACAAAGAUUUCCAAUUUCCUUUUCUUUCUCUCAUUCGAAUUCUUUGUGUUGCACACACAAUUACCUCGCCUCUCUCUCCACCCGCGUUUCAGAUUCUGUCCUUUUCUUUUUUGCACAUUAUACAUUUUUUCUCUUGCACUUCCCCCCGUCUGCAGUCUUUGAUGUCGGCUCAUACCCGCUGUCAAAUGCCACCUGUUCAGUUCCCGGGCAGGGCGGCAUUAAACUAAACCACGGCGCGCAGGACGGGACUGAUGGAGCCGGACCGACCCGACCGAGACUGAACCGACCGAGAAGGCACAGAUUUAUCGAUGUGGAAGUUGUGAAGGCAAAAAGUGAACUAGUUUCCUUACCCUCUGAUUCCCCCGAGGGGAUCAACGUUUAAGGGAAGUUACCUUAGCUGUUAGCUGUGACUUCAUCCAUGUUAAUUGUGUCUUCAGCGUGUCAUUUACGCACCUCAAAAGUCUCUGACCGGACUCAAGGUUUGCUUUGUCUUUAAAUUUCACUCAGAAGUAUUAAGGCAAUUUCACCAGGGCUUUAACAUUUGCUUGAUUUUCUUUUUCCCUCCGACUUGGCUCUGAUCUUUAUCGUGCUCAUUUCACUUCAAUUCCGUGAAACUCUUUUUUUCGUUCAUAAUCUGUCCUGUCUGACAUUGUUCCGCUUUGCUCUCUUUUUGUUUCUGGUCUGUUCUUUGAUCCAAAGCAAUAGGUGAGUUGAAGGGGUUAGCUCGUUCUUUGACCAUGACUGCUUUAACAAAUCCUGAACAGAAACAUGAGCACAGCUACAAACCAAAGGAGAAAGGCCAGAACGAGUACAAAUGUGUGUGUGUGUGUGUGUGUGUGUGUGUGUGUGUGUGUAUGUGUGUGUGGGGGGGGGCUGCAUUUCUCUUCCAAAGGUAGAUGAAAGAGGUAUAUUUCUGUAACUCCCGGCUAAUUCAAUGAGUAGUGCCAGAUCUCGCUUGGGAUUUACAGAACUGGCUUCAAAACAAUUAGCUGGAGAAUGGGAGGCGUUUAAAAGACAUGGAGACGAGGAGAUCUUAAUACGGCUGUGGGUAUUUCCCCGCGGAGGAGUCAUUUUAACAACCUCCUUACAGAGUCUCACUCUCACUAAUACUGCUGGCCAAUCUCCUCUGUCUCAUUUCACAAAGAAGACAAUUUUCUGAAAGCUGCUGUGGGGAAAAGAGAGGAAUAUAGAAAAUGUAGAUAUCAGAGUGUGAGGUCGUAGACAGUGUUGGAGAGAAAGGGAGAAAUUUAGAGAGCAUUGUUAGAAACGAGCGGGGAGGCGGGACAAGACAUUGCGGCGAGCUCAAACAGUGAGACAAACAGCAGCAAAAAACAUGCAAAAACAGAAAGAGGGUUGAAAUAGGUUGUGGUUGUCCAGGGAGCUGCAUGAUUGAACAUCCCUCUCUCUUUGUGAGGACUCACUGCUCGCUGCCCUGUGUAUGUCGAGGGCCAAUAAGUGAGUCCAUCUGUCCACAGGGGGCCAAUCAGUCAGAGCACAGAAGAACUAAGUCAGCAUGUCCUUGUCCACACGGGUGAUCAAAGACACUUUAAACACGCCGUGGCCCUCACAGCAGAGGCGGCGUUAAGGUACUUCAGCCCCUUUCAGGUGGCAGUAGAUAACUUCCAGCUGAGUUAUUGUACUCUGUUGUACAUUUUGACUUUAACCUGUUGGGUUCGUGGAAGUUAGCAAAAUUACCAACUUUUAGCAACAAAAGUUGUGGUCAACCUUCUGUGUGCCGCCUGGUUGAUGUUUUGUCAUAAACACUGAAAAAUGUAGCCAAGAAUGUCUCUGAAACUAAUCAUGUUGCUGCUUUACAAAUAGCUAUUUUAAUGCUGUCUAAAGUGAGACAACAGGGAAGAAUAAAGGAGAUGUUUCUCUAAUAGCUCACCUGGUCCAAAAUCCUGACAGUGCGAUUACAACCCAUUACAAUCUUAAAAAACAUCUGAUAAAAAAAGAAUGGAAACAACCACAAUUCCCAUGGGACAGUAAUGCCACAGGCAUUGCAAAACGUAUCAGAUGGAUUGAUCAGGCAAUUACUUUCUUUACCCAAUUCACAUACUAAGCCAGCCUCCAAGAACCCAUGGUCCUAUUUGACUUCCUCCUCUGAGCAACUAAAAAUAAUAACUUCCAGUACGUUGUUUUUUUUCAUUUCCAAUUAGAUUUAAAUGUCCUUCAGCGAUUUGGCAAAACAUCUUUUGUCUUGUAUCUGUCUUGAUAUUGUAGCAUUUUAUAACUUUAUUAUUAGCAAUAUUUCUUGGUAAUAAACACACAUUUUCUACCUUUUCUAUACCUACUGUACAGGUUCUCUGUGGUGCAUCAGCCCAUGUCAUCAGACUACUCCCACUCACACCUCCUCCUCCUCUCAGUGUGAUAAAUGGACUUCUCCCUGGAGAGCGAACAACAAAGUCAUCCAACCACAACCCCACCCGUCCCUGUCACUUCCAGGGAUGGAGAGUCCGUUAGCACACAGCUGAAAGCAGCAGUUAUUAGACAUUUCAACACUGUAAUGAAAACAAUGCAGCAAUGUCAAAACAGAAGCUGAAGCCGAUACUACAUAUAAAUUCUCCAUCUUUUCUGUCUUACAUUGUUCUAAGAAAUCGGAAGAAUUGUAUUUGUUAGCUUUUUGCGCAUUGAUGACUCUCUUGGAGAGAGUCUGUUCUCUGAAGAGUCGAGUAUUGUUGUGAAAUCAGUAAAAACCAGAGAAUCCACAACACUGGAAAAAACAGGGGGUUUAUACAUUUGCGCAAUGGACCUCUGUCUCUAAGUAAAAGUUGUGACAACUCACAAAAUAUCCAACUAGUUUUUAAUACUUUCCCCUUGUAAACCAUUAUCAAUCCUGUUUUUUUGCUUUGAUGAAACAAAUUCUAUAUUUCAUGAAUAGAUGAAUAAACAUUGUCAGAUAUCGCAUAUUUUUGCUCCAUCUUUAAUUCUUGAUGUUUUGAGUGUGUGCAUUUUAUUGUGACAGCAUGAACACACGUGUACCAUCCUCUUUGUUUACUUUUUUUACUGGCUAUCCCCUUUUUGACGUCCCUUUUUUCCCCCCAGCAUGUCAAAACUGCACAUGCUGGUGCUCUUUUGCAUUUGUUUAAUGAGAAUACUUUGCCAGUAAAGCUCUGAAUCCUGCAAAGAAAUCUUUUUGUUGUUGUGUCAUUCCUCUGCACCUGAUCGCUCUCAUAAGCAAGAGGACCACAGUUGUCAGACAACCAAUUGUGAAUUCAAUAGCUUUUCUGCCUAUGUAUUCUGCUUUUAAUCCAGAGGCUCUGUAUUAUUUGCAUUUUAAGGUGUCUUUCUCACUAGGGACCAAUUAAAUGAUAGAGCAGUGCUGUUACAGGUUUAUGGAAAUUUACCCUGGAAGGUACUUAUAUUGAUAAAUGGCGUGGAAUUACAGAACAGCAAAUAACUGCGGGUGCUGUACAUUAUUUUCCCUUUUUUUUAAUUGAUAAGGUUGCAGAGGAAAACUUAGGGGUGAGUAGCAAGAAUUUCUCGAGGGUUGUUAUGAAAGAAGGGAGUCAAAUGAAAGAAAUGCAGGGGAAAAAGAGGCAGAAUCUCUUGUUAUAAACUAUUGCAAUGGCUCAACAGCUUGUUUAGCUCAGGACGCAAGAGAAAUGGAUCAUUAAAACCAUAUUGAGCAAUAUUUUCAACAUCCACAUUGAAUCAUAUGGCUGCCGGAAUUAACAGCCCAGUUUGAAACACUGCUGCCUUCUCUUUCACUGCAGAGCAAACAAUGCUCCUUUAUAUGAAAUCAAUUGCAGAUGCUCAGAGGAACCAGUCGUUUGUACACUAGAUGGAUGUACAUUGGACCAGAUACAAAGUCGUAUUAUUUAAAAAGCCAUUGAGUGUCUAUGAGUUGUAGCUCCCAGCUUGCAGACUUCUCUAUUGCAAAGUUAUUGUUAAUAGAGUUCAGAUAAUAAUUUCAAAUGUACACAUUGGCCAAGUCGUAAAAUGUUAAGUACCUCUUGUUAACUGUUGUCUUGACAAAACGGUUUCAAAGAUCUGAAUAAUUAAUGUUCGCAGAGCCAUUGGAAUUUUCUUUUACUUUCAUCACCUACAUAACGUGACAUUUAACUAAUGUAAUUUCAAGCUGCAUUGAAUGCAGAUGGGAAUUGCUUCCAUGACAACAGUUGUUUACUACUAGAGGUGUUCAUUAAGCAAACUAAUCUCUCAAAACAGAUCUUUAAAAUGGACUAAUGAAUCACCAUGAUCGCUGUCGGAAUCGGUAGCUAAUCAGGGGGGGCCGUUCCUCUCACUGGUGACUGGGAGCGCCGUUAAAAGCCUGCUCAAAACACAGCAACCGCCACAGACAAUCAUGAUCUAUUAGAUCUGUCUGAAAAGAUAAGCUGCUAAAAGCGCCGAACACGAGUGCUCUUGAGCUUGAGGUCAACCAUUGAUGGCCGGACUUUCUCCUUCAGGAUGUUUUGGUAUUACAGAAUUCGAGAGCGGAAUUCGUGGUUCCAUCAAUUAUGGCAAGUGGUUCGGGUGCAGAGCAGCACCGGACCAUCACCACCACCCUGUGCGGCUGUUGCUAUGAUGUUGCUAUUAGGAAAUGUUGUGUUACUUUUACACGGAUCCCAUAUUUCAGACUCAUGCCGGUUAUCAGAAACGCUUGAUUGCAGCUGUUGCGGCUAAAGGGGGCACAACCAGUUACAUGGUUAGGAGGCAAUUACUUUUUCACAGAGAGCCAGGAAGGUUUGGAUAGGUUUCCCUUAAUAAAUGAAAUAAUUAUUAAAAAAAUGGCAUUUUGUAUUUACUUGAUAUCAAAAUCUAAAAUCUGACACAUUUAAAUGUGACAAAUAUGCAAAGAAAUAAGAAACCAGGAAUAAGGAAAAUACUUUUUCACAGCCCCUUGGCUAAAUAUGAUUGUUGAAUUAUAAAUGGGUUAAUGGACAAAUAUGUUAAGCACCUGUUACUCUCACUAACUUUUAAGAAAACACACUUUUAGUAUCUUCGUUCCUGUUACUAGUCAGUAGUGUCUUUCUCCCCCGCCGCAUGUACCGGCACUAACAGUUGCAGUAUCACAAACUGAUAACAAGCUGGACUGAUUUAUAUAUAAGCAUUUGGAAUUUGUAUGAAGCCUCUUCCGCUCAAAAGAGACUGACAGCCGUAGACGCAGACAGAAAGACCAAAACAUACACACAAGCACAUAAAAACACACUCAGCCAUGAGUCAGAAAGGCCUCUUGAUGUUCUCAUCAAGCCAGAAGGCACAGCAGGGACUGACGACUCACUGUCAAGAGACAAAUCGGCAUGCGCGCGCACACACACACACACACACACACACACACACACAUAGGACAGGAGUAAAGUCUAAACAUUUUCUCUUUGAGAAGCGGUGGUUCUUUCAUCAAAAAGUGUUUUUGAUUCUGUCUGUGUGCGCCUUGUUAAUUCAAAGGACGGGUACACAAAGAGAAGGAAUGUAUGUGUGUUUAAGUGCCUCUGAGUUUGUGAUUUUAGAUUUAGAAUAAUAUCAGGGCGACAGACUACAUAACUUACAACACAACAUUUAUUGCUUUUACAUAAAAUGUUUCCUAAAUUACUUAAACCUUCCAACACUUUGUUUUAUGAUUCCUGCGACAGCUUCCUCAGCAUUCACUCUGACGGCUUUACUAGCUCCUCAGGACCAUGCAUCAGUUAUCUCUGAAGGUCUUACCGUUACUUAAUGUCAUUUCGUCUUUGAUGCUGCAAUUUAUGACUUUUGCGUAGUUUAGUGGGUGACCUAGAAAUAUCAAAGCCAUCCAUUAAUCAACCAGGUUAUAGAAGGUAUCCAUAUUUCACCAUUUAAUGUUCUUGUGUAACUUUCCCAGUCAAGAACAGAUCACUACUCCAAAAAUAGCUUUACCCAAAGGUGGCUUUAUUUAAGAUGAGACGUCAGUAAAGAAUGACCUCGGAAAGGCCAUGCAUAUUAUAAAAGGCAAAAUACUUAAACAUCCUGUUUUUAGAGAAUACAUUUUCCAAUGUUGUAGCAGCAAAGAGGGCAAACUAAUAAUCUGAAUAAUGCCCAACAACAGUGGAGUCAACGCUGAAUAUAGCUCCAUGGCUCCAAGAUGUUGGGUUAGUUGGUGACUCAGAAAUUGCCCGUAGGUAUGUGAGCGUGAGUGAGUCUCCUGUCUCAGCCUCGUCGUGGACUAACGACCACUCCAGGGUUCCGUCUCUUCAAAAAUGUUGCCUGAAAUACGAUUAUUCCAAUCUUUGUUCAUUUUUGGCGCCUGCCGACACAGUGAAGCAGCUUCAGAUGCACAUUCUUGCAAGUGAGGAGGCACAUUGACCUUUCACACCCCUGAUCUUGAGAAAUUACUGUAGAAUUGAUGUCAGACUGCACUGUUAUGAAAUAUUUUGUCUGCAACACUCUUGCAAACGAGCUCCCUCCAGGUGGGAACUUCGUCACACUCGCCCCGUGAAGCAAGGAUGGGAUUUCUACAUCCAUCCCUUCAGC
ensembl:lncRNA